UGGGGAAUCUUGCGCAAUGGGCGAAAGCCUGACGCAGCAACGCCGCGUGGGGGAUGAAGGCCUUCGGGUUGUAAACCCCUUUCAGCAGGAACGAAUCUGACGGUACCUGCAGAAGAAGGUCCGGCCAACUACGUGCCAGCAGCCGCGGUAACACGUAGGGACCAAGCGUUGUCCGGAUUUAUUGGGCGUAAAGAGCUCGUAGGCGGUUUGGUAAGUCGGGUGUGAAACCUCCAGGCUCAACCUGGUGACGCCACCCGAUACUGCUAUGACUUGAGUUCGGUAGGGGAGCGGGGAAUUCCUGGUGUAGCGGUGAAAUGCGCAGAUAUCAGGAGGAACACCGGUGGCGAAGGCGCCGCUCUGGGCCGAAACUGACGCUGAGGAGCGAAAGCGUGGGGAGCAAACAGG
rnacentral:rRNA from 1 species